UUUGAACUGCUUUUUUAAAGUGGCCACUUUUAGCCUGAAUGGAGCAACCAGUGAAAGUUUGGGCUCUGUAUCCGGGGAAGCUCCUCUCUGCGUGAGCACUGGGCCAGUCAAUAGGCUCCAAGCCUGGGACUGCCAGACAAAGGGACAGCCUGCAGCAAAAGGGAUGUUUGUACUGUGGCCAGGGGAGGCUUCCUUAAAAAUAAUAGCCAAGGUUUUAGACUAUCGAAGUACAACUACAGCGAAUUCUGUUGCUAAGAAGUGAUGGUCUGGCUGAGCAAGGAGAUGUUUUAUGCUGCUACUACUUAAUAAUUAUGUCUGAGUGAAAAAUAAAGGUACUGAAGUGACAGAAGAGCUGCAGCACCGAGCGUGACU
rnacentral:lncRNA from 12 species